rnacentral:lncRNA from 1 species
GGAGUGGUUUGCUACUUGUAGUUUCUUAUAGGUGAUAAUAACUUUGUCAUAGUUCUCCUGUUAGUGCAGAUUCAUUGUUGAUAAUCAUUUUGUAAAUUAUUUUAGCGUUAUUUCCUCCUUGUAAAUUAUGACGCACGUGGAACUUUCUGAACCUAUCUAUACCCACGCUUAGAUUCAUUUAAUUCAACCAGAUACUAUAUUCUUUAGGGUAUAAGCGCUAUAAGAUUUCAAUACUUGCCCUUCCGUGUAAUAAAUCAUGAUCUUGAUAUUCAUUGAUGUUUUUUUGGGAUUAAUUUCAUUCCUAGUCUCUACUCUUUACUAUGGUUAUUAAUCUCAUUUUGAGUCCUAAAUCAUUUUAUUUGAAUUUUUCUCUUAAAUUGUCUAACUAUUGAAAUUCAUUCCAUUAAAACUAUUUCACCUUAGACCCUUAUUUCUUCACGAAAGUAUUAUAAAUUAAAUUAUGUACAUCAUUCCGAAGCAUCUUUUAUUCAAAACCUAAAAAGUGAAAUUAGAUUCCAUUAAAAAUAAUUAAAAACCUAAUUCCCCUUCCCCUCUUAAAACCCUAAUCUCAUGUUAAGAAAUCUUUUAUAUGAUUUCAACAAAUGUUUCAAAAUUUAAGCAUUCAAAUAUUAUCUUAAAUCAUUCUAAAUCUUUCCAAUUGCAUUCUAAUAAUUAAAAUUUAUAUUAUAGACAACGGGUAGCAUCAAUGUAUUUUUUUUCGAGAACAUUUAACUAGAGAAGAGUCUAAGAUAAUUUUUAAAGGGUUAUUUCAAAUUUCUCAAACCCUUGGUCAUUUCUUAAAAAAAAAAAAACUCUCAAACAAGAAGAGAGCUUCUAAAAAUCUCAUUUUCCCUCAUCUCCCCUUCAAAGCCCUACUCACAAACAUAUGCUAAAGAAAUUUAUGUAAUUCGACCGAACAAAUUUCUCUUUAAAUAGUUCCUUUUGAAAAUGAUUUGGUGAGGUGUGCAAUUUCAUAAACUUGAAAAUUGUGAGAAAAAAAAGGUUUAAAUUUUGAUUUUUUUACGGAUUUAAAUUUUAUAUUGUUAUGAGCUAUAUCACCGCAUCUUUAUUAGUAAGAAAUGAAGUGGAUGAAAAAAAAUCAAAAUAAAUGAAUGAGAAAGGAGGAGGGACAUAGACACAAGCCAAACUUGACUCAUUUUUACUUGUAUGAAAGUCAAUUCUAUAUCUAAAUUGAAUCAUGUACCCAAACAAUCUAAAUUAAAGUUUUAGUUGGAUUUUUUAACCUUUUUUUUAUUUUUGGCAUUUUUUUGUUUUUUUGUUUAUUUUAUUUUCAUAAUUUUAUAGUUUAGUUUUUUUUUUUAAAUGUAUUAGUAAAAUAGAAUAUUCCAUGUUGGAGGGACUUGCAUAAUUAUCAUUAUUGCCGCGAGGAAGGAUUUUGGAUUGCUGAUCAUUUAUUUGUGAAGGAAUUUCAUGGAAUGUUGGCUGUACUGUGCAUACUUUAAAGGGAUCAUGGAAUGUUGCUGGGUCUUGGUUGUGGCAAAUCUGGUGGCAUUGGUGCGUACAGUGGAAUUGCACUAAUUUUAGCUUUUGUGCUUCUUGUGUAUUGUACUCCUUGGAGAUUACCACUUGGUUAUAGAUUUUUAGUACUCUUUUUCCUUCAUCAGGUUUUCUCAAGAGGGUUUUUCCUGGUAAGGUUUUAAUAAAAACCUGAUCUCUAUAAUCUUUCUCGUAGGAGGUGGUGGGUUCAUCUAUUAGUGGGGAUCAUUACUUUGUUUCUGUAAAUUACUACAUUGUACUUCUCUUUUCAUUCUUUCUUCUUGUAUUGGGUUAAAGUACCUCUUGUACUUGCUUGUCAAAAAAAAAAAAAAAAAACCUCUUGUACUUCACUUCAAUAUAUUUCAUUUUCUUAUCAACAAAAAAUCAUACUAAUAUAGUAGUUUCUAUUUCCUAGGUUGUUCUUUGGGUCAAACCCUUCCAACUUAUCAAAUUAAAAAGUUAUAGAAAUAAGACUUUUUCUUUUUAAAAUAACUCAAUUUUAAUCCAUCUAAAUUAUUAUUUUCUCUUGAAAAAUAUGAAGACAAUAUUUAUGUAAAUUAUUUUCUGCUCAAGUUAACUAGUGGCGGAUCAUCUUCAAGCCUUUUGCAUGCACUCAGGUUUAAAGAUAAAUAUUUCCAAGUCUAAGGCCAUUACUUCCAAGGGUGUUAGAGUGGAGAUUCGUGACGAGAUUCAGACCAUCGCUCCUAUCCCUUUUGUCUGUGAUCUAGGGCGUUACUUGGGUUUUCCCCUAACAGGAGGAAGAUCCUCCAGAGCGGCGGUGGGGUAGCUGCCGUUAACGUGUUUAGCAGCAAGAUCCGAGGGGGGAACGGCGAAAGGGUCAAUGGGUUUUGAAUGGUGGUUAGAUGAUGGAGUGGGUUGAUUUAGAAACGACGCGAACUUGAAGUCACCGAAGGUCUCAUCAUCUUCCUUUGACCCUUUCUUCAAAUUCUAUUCCACCACCCCAGAAACCCCAACCCAUAACCCCCAAUCUAGAGAAAUCAGAAAACGAAAACCCUAACCUAAGACUCUCAAUCCAGAGAUUUUCAAUUGAUUGAGUGUGAAAAAAGAAGAAGAUGUACACUGAAGUUGAUGAAGAAUGAUGAUGAUGAUUCAUAAAGAUGUGAAAGUAGAAAAAGAAGAAGAAGGGUGAAGAAGAACGGUGAGAAUGAUGAUGUUGAAUUGGUUUUAUUUAGAUGUGUCAAUUAGAUUAGUUUAUUAGGAAUUAGGAUGAAGGGUUUUAAUUAGUUUAAUUAUGAUUUAUGAGUUAUUUUUGUAAUAAAAAAAUUAUGGGUUUUUCUUUAUAGAAUUUAAAUGAAAAAGAUAAAACAAAAGCCACCUAGGACGUCAUUAAUUGAUGUGGCAAGUUCCACAUCAGCUGGCGGAGCUCCGGCAUUGGCCAAUCGGUCGGAAGGACCAAAACCAAUCAUUUUGCCAAAACGGGGGACCAACUCCCACCUUUACUCCAGCGAGGGACUAAAGCCAUAUUUAUGACAAAGGUUGGGGACCAAAAACUGGAUUAAGCCUUAUUUUUAUUACAAAAGGAAAGUUCUCUCUUUAUAAAUUUAAUCAAAUUAAUAUUUUUUUCAGAAAACAUAUAAUAUUAUUAUUUUAUCUAGUUUCGUGAUUGCAUUUUCAAAAUAUUAACAAUUUAACAUGCUUUACUUUAUUAGUCAUUAUACAGGUCUAACGUCUAAAUGAGUUUUACUAGAAUUGUAAUAGACAUUUUCAAUUUCUUGGACGGAAUCAGAGAAUUAAUACAUGAAAUAACUAAACCAUAGGUCCCUUAAAUCACCAAAAUGUAGUCAAUGAAAUUAAUUUUCACAAUGCAAGAUUUGAAUGUCAAGGAAAAGGAAUUUUGAAGGAAAGUGGUAUGAUGACAUUAAUAACGGCUGAAGAUUUAGAUGAUGCAGCUCACAAAGCAGUGAAAGCAGCUUACAAAUGAAGAGUUUACUUCUGUUCAUCAAAUUCCAAAAUCACUUUAAUUACACAUGGUUAAUAUUAUCAAAGCCGCAGUGGUUAUCAAAGCAUUUCCAAUAAGUUAAUGCUUUUCAAAUUAUGUUGAUGCAUGCACAUGGUUAAUAUUUGGUUCUCUUUGCACUUCAAGAUACCGACCCCUUUCUGGUUCCAAAAAAGAAACAUUUGAAUGUCAUUAGUGCUCAUUACAAUUUUCCUGCAUGGAAUGGUGUUUCAUCCAGUAUAUAUAAUAAGUUACCAUUCACCAUUUUUCACAUCAAAAGUACAUUCCAGCUUCAAAAUCACCUCAGAGAAAUUUUUCCCCACCAAGAUGAAAGGUCUAUUUUCUGUGAUUUUUAUGUUGUUUGUUGCUGCUACACCUAGCUUGUAUGCUAGAGUAACACCCAAUGCAGGAUCUAGCAGCUUCAAUAUUGUAAACUAUGGGGCAAAGGGGGAUGGGCAAACUGAUGAUUCACAAGUAUAUAUGUUUUUACUUUUUACUAUUCUCAUAUAUUAUUUGAUAUAAUAAAGUUUUACAUUUUUAUUAUUUAGUUUUUCAAAUUGAAUCUGACACCAUUCUAAUUAAACUUUCCAAGGCUUUUGAGAAAGCAUGGCAUGAUAUGUGUAGUGCAACUGAAGGCACCCCAACUCUUCUCAUACCGAACGGAAAAUCAUUCAUGUUACAACCUGUGUUAUUCAAGGGUCCUUGCAAAAUUAACAGUAUUAAUAUUGAGGUAAAUGAAUAUGAACCAUGUUUUACUAGCUACUAACAAUUAGUGAUGUUUAUAAUAUACUCCUUAUAUUCUCAUUUGUUAUUAAUCUCAUAUUCUCAUAUGAAGCGGAAUUUCAAGCAGGUCGUGGUUUCUUUACUGCUUCAUGUUGUUUUUAUUCUGUUUUUCCCUAUUGCUGUCAUUAUGUUUUCAUGUCUCUUGUUGCUUUCUUUUUCUUUUGAUCUCUUCUCAUUUCUCAUUUAUAUUUGGAUUAGCACCCUUGUGCUAUAUUUAAAUGCAAUGUCAUAUAUCUAUAUAUAUAUAUAUAAUAGUUCAUAAAGUUAAAAAAAGUUUCUUAGCCCACAAUAAAUCAAGUCUUAUAUCAUAUAUAUUGUUUUGUUUGGCAGCUUCAGGGCACUCUUGUUGCCCCUCAAAGUGCUGAUGCUUGGAAAUGGCCAGAUAAUAAUAGGGGAGGAUGGAUAAAAUUCUCAGACAUAAAUGGCCUUGUUAUUAGCGGAGGAGGAACAUUCGAUGGACAAGGUGCUGCAUGGUGGACCAAGUACCCUAAAUACUCUGAUAGGCCAAGUGUAAGUACUUGAAAAACAUGUAACCCCAUAAUUAAUUUUCUUUUUCUUUAAAAAUAUGCUGAAUGUAUCAAACCUUCAAUUAACUCAUCAUAAAACAUAUAUUUAUUAAGGACUCUUCUUUCUAUAAAUCAACUUUAUCAAAAAAAAAAACUAAAAUAUUAUGUUAAUACGACUAAUUAACUAUGAAAAUGAUUGACGUGUGCAGGCCCUUCAGUUCAUUGGCUGUAAGAAUCUAGCACUUAGCGCGACGAAUCACAUCAACAGCCCAAGAAAUCACAUAAGCAUAGAUUCUUGCAGUUACUCUAGCAUUUCCAACAUUCAUAUUAAUUCCCCGGAGGGAAGUCCUAACACUGAUGGGAUUGAUAUGUCAAAAUCAUCUAACAUCCUCAUUAAGGAUUCUACAAUUCAAAGUGGUAAUUAAUUCAUACAUUAUACUCUUCACUUCAUUUUUCUAUCCUACACCAUUACUAUUUAAUUUCAUACUAUUACCCUAUAUUUAAAUUGAUGUUUAGAAAGCUUAAAAACAAAACAAAUUAAACAUGAUUUGUUUCUUUUCCUUAAUUAAUAAUUUUUAUACAUACAGGAGACGACUGCAUUGCCAUCAAUAAUGGUUGCUCUUUCCUAAACAUAACUGGUAUUACUUGUGGUCCUGGCCAUGGCAUCAGGUCAAUCCCCUUACUGUUGAGAUUAUGUUAUUGAUAUCCUUGACUAAAAUUUAAACUCACUUUGGAUUGUGUUGUGGAUCUUUAGUGUUGGGAGCCUUGGGAAAGAUGGAAAGUUUGAGACAGUAGAAGAGGUACAUGUGAGAAAUUGCAUCUUCCAAGGAACAAAAAAUGGAGCUAGGAUCAAGACAUGGCAGGUAACAAAUCGACUAUAAUUCCAUUGAAAUUCAAACAUUAUCGUUUUGAUUUGUCAAAAAAGGGUAGUUGGCUCUAGUAUUAGAUGAACUGCUAUAUAUAAAGAAACAAGUGAUUAAAUCUCAAUCAUUUUAUGUGUUUUUAAUUAGGGAGGAUCCGGGUAUGCCAGAAAGAUAACAUUUGAAAAUAUUAUACUCAAUGGAGCAAAGAACCCUAUCAUCAUUGACCAAAAUUAUAAGGAUUUUCAACAUAAUGGUCCUGCAGUGAAAGUGAGUGAUGUUACUUACCGUAACAUCACAGGAACCACAGUUUCCAUGGAGGCAAUCUCAUUGAAUUGUGACCCCGUUGGCUGCACCGACAUUGUAUUAGAUCAUAUUGACAUAACCUUUGCAUCCGCAGGGAAAAGUGCACAGUCAUUGUGUAAAAACGUUAAUGGGACAUUCACUUCAUGUAUUCCAAUUGUUAACUGUUCUUGAGUUGAGACUAGCUGAUUAGGGUUUCGAAGUAGUUAGUAAGACCCAAUGCAUUUUGCUGUGUUUACAUCUCUUGUACUAAGUUAAGUUGCAUUGGAUUCUACAUUUCUAUAGUCCAGAAGAAUCAGCUUUGUACUUUUGGGCUAUUGGUCCCGUUUCAAUAAAAUCCUUGAUUUAGUGCCAAAAGAAAUAAAGAUAUCCUUGACAAGUUGCACCUUUCAAGUUUCAAGUUCUAGACAUUGAAACUUCUUAUUAAGAAUUAAUGUUGCUAGAUAACUUAUUCAUGUGUUUGAUUAUUGAUUAUUGAUAUGUUAAACUUUUAAUUAUUGUUUAACUAGUAAAUCUCUAACGUGCGGAUGUAUUUAGUAAACUUUUCCCCUUUCAAUUUUUCACUUCAAAUCGUUUUUCAUACGCAUGACUCAAGGAUCAAACCUAUCAAACUUUUUUGAUAAUUUGUUGAUAAUGGGAACUAAUUGGUUAAGGAGUUGUGGUCGAGUUUUUUUUUUUUUUUUUUGUUUACAAGUGGGAAUGCAUAUUAUAUCCAUAUUGUGAUUGAGACACUAUAUAAUAUACAAAAUACAAAAAACAUUUAAUAUGUGUGCCUCAAAAUUGAAAAGGACGAAAAGAUAGAGUCACUUUUUCGUGAUGAGGUAUUAUUGGCUAUAUAUAUAUAUAUAUAGUUGAAAGAGAGGUGCGUAUCAUAGGAUUGUUUCUGAUUCUCAAGAAACAAAGAAAUGUCACGAGAAACCGUGUACGUGCAGCAGUGUAAGGGCGUUAAUGUCCUGGACAAGAUCAUUCUCAGGGAAGUUCGUGGUUUCUCUUGCGAGGUAUAAUAUUAUUCUCAUUCUCAUUCUCAAAACGCGAUUUCAAUUUCAAUGAUAAUUCCAUUCUUUGCAGAGUAGUCAUCGAAUGUUGAACUUUUUCCCAUGAUCACAAAUACCAUUGAACUUAGCAAGGAAAUAAGUUGAAUUGUGAAUGCAACAAGUUUGCUUUCUGUGUUACCUGUCUAGAGAUAUCUUUCUUUCUCUUGCUUUUUUUAUUACGAAAAUUUUAGUUACUUGAAUGACUUUGUAUCUGCUUUUCCUUGAAUUACUUUAAAGGAAACAUUGGUUAUGCAUUACUGCAGCUUGAAGCAGCUCACGAUAGGGAGAAAGAGUUACUUCAUGAGAUAACUGAACUGCAGUGGAGGUAUUGUAUUAUAAAAUAUAUCUGGAUUAUAUGGUAAAAUAUGAGUGUCUUGAACCUUGCUUUGUCACAUAUAGGCUCUUAUGUACCCAGGAUGAGCUUCAAAAAUUAAAAACAGAAAACGCCCAGGUAUCAACAUUUACUUUCCCUGAUAAUUCUAAGAUCUGUUUUGGAUUAUGGAUUUGACAUUCUAACUUGUAAAUCUUAGGUGUGAUUGUCUUUUUGGAAUCGACACUUGGAUUUGGAUUUCAGAAGUGAUUCCGUUGUUGAAUGCUUGGAUUUCUCAAAUUUAAAUUCUUCAUGGACACCUAAAACAUUUAGGUGCAAGAAGAGAGGAGAAUUUUAACCAGUACUAAUUCAUUGACUAGAUACGGAGUGGUUUGCUACUUGUAGUUUCUUAUAGGUGAUAAUAACUUUGUCAUAGUUCUCCUGUUAGUGCAGAUUCAUUGUUGAUAAUCAUUUUGUAAAUUAUUUUAGCGUUAUUUCCUCCUUGUAAAUUAUGACGCACGUGGAACUUUCUGAACCUAUCUAUACCCACGCUUAGAUUCAUUUAAUUCAACCAGAUACUAUAUUCUUUAGGGUAUAAGCGCUAUAAGAUUUCAAUACUUGCCCUUCCGUGUAAUAAAUCAUG